AAGUCGUAACAAGGUUUCCGUAGGUGAACCUGCGGAAGGAUCAUUGUCGAAACCUGCAAAGCAGACCGCGAACACGUUUCAUAACAACUAUAGGGGUCGCGUCGCGGGGGGAAACCACCCGUCGCGAUCCCUUACUCGCCCGUCGUGCGCAUUAGUGUGCGACGUGUGGGCUAACAAAAACCCGGCGCGGGAUGCGCCAAGGAAAAUAAAUCAACGAAGCGUUCCACCCUCUGCUCACCCGUUUGCGGUGUGUGCAGAGAGGAGCGGACGUCUCUUGAAUGUCAAAACGACUCUCGGCAACGGAUAUCUCGGCUCUCGCAUCGAUGAAGAACGUAGCGAAAUGCGAUACUUGGUGUGAAUUGCAGAAUCCCGUGAACCAUCGAGUCUUUGAACGCAAGUUGCGCCCGAAGCCAUUAGGCCGAGGGCACGUCUGCCUGGGCGUCACGCAUCGCGUCGCCCCUCUCACCCGCUUCCCAUUGGGUCAUCGGCGUGAGUGGGGCGGAUACUGGCUUCCCGUGCGCUCAAGUGUGCGGUUGGCCCAAAUGCGAUCCCGCGGCGACGCACGUCACGACCAGUGGUGGUUGAACACUCAACUCGCGCAACUGUCGUGCAACGACGUCGUCCGUCCGGGUAUCACAACGACCCGAUAGCUCGUGCUCAUGCAUGCGCUUCCGACCGCGACCCCAGGUCAGGCGGGAUU
rnacentral:rRNA from 1 species